AUUUAUCGGAGAGUUUGAUCCUGGCUCAGGACGAACGCUGGCGGCGUGCCUAAUACAUGCAAGUCGAGCGGACAGAUGGGAGCUUGCUCCCUGAUGUUAGCGGCGGACGGGUGAGUAACACGUGGGUAACCUGCCUGUAAGACUGGGAUAACUCCGGGAAACCGGGGCUAAUACCGGAUGGUUGUCUGAACCGCAUGGUUCAGACAUAAAAGGUGGCUUCGGCUACCACUUACAGAUGGACCCGCGGCGCAUUAGCUAGUUGGUGAGGUAACGGCUCACCAAGGCGACGAUGCGUAGCCGACCUGAGAGGGUGAUCGGCCACACUGGGACUGAGACACGGCCCAGACUCCUACGGGAGGCAGCAGUAGGGAAUCUUCCGCAAUGGACGAAAGKCUGACGGAGCAACGCCGCGUGAGUGAUGAAGGUUUUC
rnacentral:rRNA from 1 species